rnacentral:rRNA from 1 species
GUUGCAUGGCUGUCGUCAGUCUCGUUGUCGUGAGAUGUUCGGUUAAGUCCGCUAACGAGCGCAACCCUCGUCGUAUGUUAUAUGUGUCAUACGAGACUGCCGGUAAAAGCCGGAGGAAGGUGAGGAUGAUGUCAAGUCAGCAUGACCUUUAUAUCCAGGGCUACACACACGCUACAAUGGUCUGUACAAUGGGUAGCCAAGCCGCGAGGCGGAGCCAAUCCUGAAAGCAGGCCUCAGUUCAGAUUGCAGUCUGCAACUCGACUGCAUGAAGCCGGAGUUGCUAGUAACCGCAGGUCAGCAAUACUGCGGUGAAUACGUUCCCGGGUCUU